rnacentral:rRNA from 1 species
GAACGCUGGCGGCGUGCUUAACACAUGCAAGUCGAACGAUGAAGCCCUUCGGGGUAGAUUAGUGGCGAACGGGUGAGUAACACGUGGGCAAUCUGCCCUUCACUCUGGGACAAGCCCUGGAAACGGGGUCUAAUACCGGAUACAACCACUGACCGCAUGGUCGGGUGGUGGAAAGCUCCGGCGGUGAAGGAUGAGCCCGCGGCCUAUCAGCUUGUUGGUGAGGUAAUGGCUCACCAAGGCGACGACGGGUAGCCGGCCUGAGAGGGCGACCGGCCACACUGGGACUGAGACACGGCCCAGACUCCUACGGGAGGCAGCAGUGGGGAAUAUUGCACAAUGGGCGAAAGCCUGAUGCAGCGACGCCGCGUGAGGGAUGACGGCCUUCGGGUUGUAAACCUCUUUCAGCAGGGAAGAAGCGAAAGUGACGGUACCUGCAGAAGAAGCGCCGGCUAACUACGUGCCAGCAGCCGCGGUAAUACGUAGGGCGCAAGCGUUGUCCGGAAUUAUUGGGCGUAAAGAGCUCGUAGGCG